GCUGCCUUUGGCAGCACACAUACUAAAAUUGGAACGAUACAGAGAAGAUUAGCAUGGCCCCUGUGCAAGGAUGACAUGCAAAUUCAUGAAGUGUUCCAUAUUUUU
rnacentral:snRNA from 1 species